AUCACUCCUCUAUAAAUAAAGCCUUCCCUUCUUUGGCAGCUACUUUUCUCUUGCCACUUAGAUCUCUAAGAAAUUGAAGAGCAAACAUGGCUCCCAUGCCACCCUUGGUUUUGUCUGUCGAAUCCUUGGUUCUCAGUGCUUCAUCUUCAUCUUCAGUCAACGGACGAUCUCCGGAUCAUUUUCAGGUUAUUUCUGGGGAUUUCAAUUCCGAAGAUGAGGACGGUUAUGCUGCUGAUUUUGAAGAGUCCAUGAAUCACUGGAAGAGGAGAUAGGAUUUGAAUCGGGACUGGAGGAGGAAUCAGAACCUGAGCAGGAGUUCGAGGGAAAUAUUGUUCUUCCUGUGGUUGCUCCGCGUUUUGUGAUUGUGCAGGAAGAAGAAGCUGUCUUAGGAGAUAACUUCGCAUAUGUGGCGAAUGCAAAUCUUCGUGAAGAUGCGGAUGAAGGGAAGCAUAUGUACCACAUGUUGGAUGAAGGUUCUAGCUCCGAACGUCCAGCCACUGUUCAGCCCAAACGCAAAGAUGAUGCCCUGGUUGAAGAUGGAGUGGACAAGAAGAGGAGGAAGAUGGAGUAGUUUGCCUUUACAUGGAUCGUGAAUUUUGUUCUGUUCUUAACAUGUACCUGUGAAGUAAGGUUUCGACUAUUAUGUACCUACACGUACAAAGAUAUUUUGGAUGUGGUUAACUGAUCGUUGUACUGCAUGAUCUAUAUGUACGAAACAGCAGAAUUUUAUAAUUUUGGAUCAAA